rnacentral:tRNA from 1 species
GUCAGUGUGGUGUACUGGUUUGUCUGUUGGACCAGGACUCUGGAGGCCAGGGUUCGAAUCCCGGUUUGGCCA